CUCAUUUAGGAUCCUAGUAGGCCAGAGGGUAGAAGCUUCUCCUGAGCCUCUCAGUGCUGGCCUGGUUUAUCCAGCACAUUACUUACUUUACUCAACAG